rnacentral:rRNA from 1 species
AUUGAACGCUGGCGGCAGGCCUAACACAUGCAAGUCGAGCGAGCGGCGGACGGGUGAGUAAUGUAUGGGGAACUGCCCGAUAGAGGGGGAUAACUACUGGAAACGGUAGCUAAUACCGCAUACUAUCGGAUACCCCCCGAUGGGAUUAGCUAGUAGGUGGGGAAAAGGCUCACCUGGGCGACGAUCCCUAGCUGGUCUGAGAGGAUGACCAGCCACACUGGAACUGAGACACGGUCCAGACUCCUACGGGAGGCAGCAGUGGGGAAUAUUGCACAAUGGGCGCAAGCCUGAUGCAGCCAUGCCGCGUGUAUGAAGAAGGCCUUCGGGUUGUAAAGUACUUUCAGCGGGGAGGCGUUACCCGCAGAAGAAGCACCGGCUAACUCCGUGCCAGCCGCCGCGGUAAUUC